rnacentral:rRNA from 1 species
AUUGAACGCUGGCGGCAGGCCUAACACAUGCAAGUCGAACGGUAACAGGAAGCAGCUUGCUGCUUUGCUGACGAGUGGCGGACGGGUGAGUAAUGUCUGGGAAACUGCCUGAUGGAGGGGGAUAACUACUGGAAACGGUAGCUAAUACCGCAUAACGUCGCAGGACCAAAGAGGGGGACCUUAGGGCCUCUUGCCAUCGGAUGUGCCCAGAUGGGAUUAGCUAGUAGGUGGGGUAACGGCUCACCUAGGCGACGAUCCCUAGCUGGUCUGAGAGGAUGACCAGCCACACUGGAACUGAGACACGGUCCAGACUCCUACGGGAGGCAGCAGUGGGGAAUAUUGCACAAUGGGCGCAAGCCUGAUGCAGCCAUGCCGCGUGUAUGAAGAAGGCCUUCGGGUUGUAAAGUACUUUCAGCGGGGAGGAAGGGAGUAAAGUUAAUACCUUUGCUCAUUGACGUUACCCGCAGAAGAAGCACCGGCUAACUCCGUG